rnacentral:rRNA from 1 species
AUACGUAGGUGGCAAGCGUUGUCCGGAAUUAUUGGGCGUAAAGCGCGCGCAGGCGGUCCUUUAAGUCUGAUGUGAAAGCCCACGGCUCAAACGUGGAGGGUCAUUGGAAACUGGGGGACUUGAGUGCAGAAGAGGAAAGUGGAAUUCCAAGUGUAGCGGUGAUAUGGGUAGAGAUUUGUAGGAACACCAGUGGCGAAGGCGACUUUCUGGUCUGUAACGGACGCUGAGGCGCGAUAGCGUGGGGGGCAAACAGGAUUGGAUACCCUGGUAGUCCACGCCGUAAACGAUGAGUGCUAAGUGUUAGGGGGUUUCCGCCCCUUAGUGCUGCAGCUAACGCAUUAAGCACUCCGCCUGGGGAGUACGGUCGCAAGACUGAAACUCAAAGGAAUUGACGGGG